CCAGAUCUUAUGUAAGUGGCGCAACAACAACUAAUCCUUAAUAGCAACAAGCUAGUAUGGCCUACAUGGAUCGUUUGCUUCCAUUGUAUUCGUGCUAAAUCCGCAUUGAUUCUGAUUGGUUUAGGCCUCUUGAAAGAAUUUCUGCCUGUAAUUUUAGGUCUAUUUCAUCCAGUUUUGACACAUUCACCACCUACCAGUGCAUCUGGAGGUCUAUGUAAAAGUCAAACCAUUUCAUACAACAUCUCAAACACAUUUAACCACCUACCAGUGCAUCUGGAAGUCUAUGUAAAAGUCAAACCAUUUCAUACAACAUCUCAUUUUAUCUCUUAUAGGAGGUGCUACUUACA
rnacentral:lncRNA from 1 species